GCGUGGGUGAAGAAGGCCUUAGGGUUGUAAAGCCCUUUCACUGGUGAAGAUGAUGACGGUAACCAGGGAAGAAGCCCCGGCUAACUCCGUGCCAGCAGCCGCGGUAAUACGGAGGGGGCAAGCGUUGUUCGGAAUUACUGGGCGUAAAGGGCGCGUAGGCGGGAUGUCAAGUUAGGGGUGAAAGGCCUGGGCUCAACCUGGGAACUGCCUCUAAAACUGGCGUUCUUGAGUUCGGGAGAGGAUGGCGGAAUUCCCAGUGUAGAGGUGAAAUUCGU
rnacentral:rRNA from 1 species